UGCACUCACCAGAUAAAAGUCCAAUGCACUCUGUGGGGUGAAACAGCCUCUGUCUCAGGUUGGGAGUUGCUGCCAUGGAGACCACAAGAGUGGAGAUUUUCUGACACACAGAAAGGAAUGGAUUACAGCUCCUUCUUAUGUAAAUUUCCAUGGAGGGGAAAAAAGAUUAAAAGGAAAAUAAUUCUGCUUUAGUCGUUUUCCUUUAAGGUGAUAAGAUCCUUUGAUUCCAUCGUGGAGAAGAAGGCAACAGCUGUUUGUCACAAAUGAUGGGAAAUGUGCCAACGUCACAACAAGGUUUGAGGGAGGCACAUCUCAUGCUCGGACAUGAACACCCGAUCAUCAUGCUUAUGAACUACAAAAGGAUCUCCAGUAUGGGCUCACGGCAGGUAAUUGUUUUGAGACUUAUGUCUGAAAUGUUUGUAUCCCACCCAAAUAUUUAAUUGUUAACUUUGAUAGGUGUAGAAUUCUAGGCUAGAAAUAAUUUUUUUCUACAGAAUUCUAAAGUCAUUGUUACAUUAUCUUUUUGCUUCUACUGGGGCUGUUGAGAAAUUCACAGUCAUUUUGGUAUUUUGAGCAAUGAUUUUUACCUUUUUCUGAAAAGUUUUAAAAUUCCCUCUUUUAUGUCUAUUGUUCUGAAAGUUUAAGAUGAUGGAACUUAGUGUGAGUUUAUUUUUAUCUAUUGUACUGAAUAUUUACUGUACCUUUUAAGUCUAGAAACUCAUGCCCUUCAGUACUGAUAAAUUUCUUGGAUUAUUUCUUGUGUCUUUUUUCUUCUAUUUUUCAAGUUCUUUUUCUGAAAUUUUAGUUACUCAGUUGAUGAACUCCUAGAAUGAUUUUCUAUAUUUCUUAUCUUUUAUAUCAUAUCUUCCAUCUUUUUGAUUUUUCAUUCUACUUUCUAAGAGAUUUCCCUAAAUUUAUCUUCUAACUAUUUGACUGAAAUUUUCAUUCUGGCUGUCAAAUUUGAAUUUAUAAUUACUAUCUUGUUUUACAAUUGUUUUCCUUUUGCCAGAAUAUUGUUUUUAUUUAAUAAAUUACAAUAACUUCUCCUAUUUGUCUGAGGAUGUUGAUGAUAGUUUCCUUUUGAAGUUUUUAUUUUCCUGCAGAGUUUUCUAUAAGUUGCUUUUUUUUCCCCCAUAAUAUUUUGGCCUUUACAGUUGGCCCUUGAAUAACAUGAAUUUGAACUGCCUGAGUCUGCUAAUAUGUGGAUUAUCUUCUGCUUCUGCACCCUGAGACAGCAAGACCAACCCUUCCUCUUGCUUCUUUUCCUUAGCCUAUUCAACGUGAAGAUGACUAAGGUAAGGACCUUUGUGACGAUCCACUUCCACUCAAUAAAAAAUACAUAUUUUUUUCC
rnacentral:lncRNA from 1 species